GAUGAAGAACGUAGCGAAAUGCGAUACUUGGUGUGAAUUGCAGAAUCCCGUGAACCAUCGAGUCUUUGAACGCAAGUUGCGCCCGAAGCCAUUAGGCCGAGGGCACGCCUGCCUGGGCGUCACACGUCGUUGCCCCCCCAUCUACUCCUUCGGGAUUGCGGGGGGCGGAUGAUGGCCUCCCGUGCGCCUCGUCGCGCGGUUGGCAUAAAUGCCAAGUCCUCGGCGACGCACGCCACGACAAUCGGUGGUUGCGAAACCUCGGUUGCCCGUCGUGUGCGGUCGUCGCGCAUCGAGGGCUCGAAAAAAUUGCCGGGCUCCGGCUCGACUUUCAACGCGACCCCAGGUCAGGCGGGGUUACCCGCUGAAUUUAAGCAUAUCAAUAAGCGGAGUA
rnacentral:misc_RNA from 1 species